CAGUAGCCGCGGUAAAACGUAGGUGGCAAGCGUUGUCCGGAAUUAUUGGGCGUAAAGGGCUCGCAGGCGGUUUCUUAAGUCUGAUGUGAAAGCCCCCGGCUCAACCGGGGAGGGUCAUUGGAAACUGGGAAACUUGAGUGCAGAAGAGGAGAGUGGAAUUCCACGUGUAGCGGCGAAAUGCGUAGAGAUGUGGAGGAACACCAGUGGCGAAGGCGACUCUCUGGUCUGUAACUGACGCUGAGGAGCGAAAGCGUGGGGAGCGAACAGGAUUAGAUACCCCCGUAGUCCCUGUCUCUUAUAC
rnacentral:rRNA from 1 species